AUAAAAAAUAUUGAUUAGUGGGAGUACUGAAAGUAUUUUUUCUCUUUAAAAGAUUUACAUAGUUUUGGAUAAGAAAUCACCACUUCUACUCCAAAAAGCGAACAUGAGACACUAGAUCUCCAUGGUAUUGCAAAACUUGUCAUCAAUACUCCAAAAAGCAAACAUGAGAUGCUAGAUAUCCUGGCAUUACCAUCAGCUCAUUUUCGUUAUGUUUCAUGUUUGUAAUGAUGCCUCAUGUAUUAUACUCAAGAUAUUGGAGAAGGUGGCGUUAAGUUCAGGUGCACUUUUGGCGUUAUGUGUUAUUAGAUGGUAAUUGAUUUGAUCAAGUAAAAAAUGUAUUAGGCUAUUAGCCACGACAGUAUAUAUGCAGACUAUAUGAAGGAAGAAUAUCACAUCGGUGGCUAAUAGUGAAAAUCACCUUUUAGGUUAUUCUGCUUGUUUAUACAGAGCAAAAGCAUGCCUGCUAAUCUGCUUAUACUUGUUGGUGGCUUUGAGGCAAAACUUAGGGAACAGGUCAGACUUACAAUUAGAGGCACUUGAAUGUAGUUUAUUGAGUCUAAGCUGCACUAGUUUGUGGAUUGAGUUUAAGCUGCACAGAUUUCCCACUUUGGUUCUGUUUUUAGUCUAAUUUUCCUCCUGCUUGGUUUCUCGUUUCUCAUGUGUGAUUCUGUUCUGUUUGAUUCCUUGUAGGUGUGGUCAAGUCUUCAUCAGCUUGCCUCGUGUUUGGUUCUGUUCUUUUCUCAAACUUACUACCACUGGCUGUAAGAUUUACUAUCCAAAUGUGCUAUUUACAAAUG
rnacentral:sRNA from 1 species